AAACCUUCGGCGGUAAUUAUUUAUCACCGGUGCUGGCGGCGGGCGCCCCGCUCCCCGCGGUGGCCCCCCGCCUAAACCUGACGGCGGGUGGCGCAAGGCCCCGGCAGUAGUAGAAAUAUAUCUGCCCGUGCGCUUUUGCGACAUCCGCUCAAACCUCAGGGGAAGUCAAAUUCCCCCAAUU
rnacentral:misc_RNA from 1 species